rnacentral:rRNA from 1 species
GAAUUGAACGCUGGCGGCAGGCUUAACACAUGCAAGUCGAACGAAGUGUUGGUGCUUGCACUAACACUUAGUGGCGAACGGGUGAGUAAUACUUGGGAAUCUGCCUUGUAGCGGGGGAUAACGUUUCGAAAGGAACGCUAAUACCGCAUACGUCCUACGGGAGAAAGGAGGGGAUCUUCGGACCUUGCACUAUAAGAUGAGCCCAAGCGAGAUUAGCUAGUUGGUAAGGUAAAGGCUUACCAAGGCGACGAUCUCUAGCUGGUCUGAGAGGAUGAUCAGCCACACUGGGACUGAGACACGGCCCAGACUCCUACGGGAGGCAGCAGUGGGGAAUAUUGGACAAUGGGCGAAAGCCUGAUCCAGCCAUGCCGCGUGUGUGAAGAAGGCCUUCGGGUUGUAAAGCACUUUAAGCGAGGAGGAAUGGCUCUGGGUUAAUACCCUUGAGCAGUGACGUUACUCGCAGAAUAAGCACCGGCU